AUGCUACUAUUGGCUGUGGCAUUAGGAACUCAUGUGAAAAUGGGUGAGGCACAAAGUAGUAGUUGUCCAGUUCAGCUGACCAAUCUGAAUGUUUGUGCACCAUUUGUUGUGCCUGGUGCAUCCAAUACUGAGCCUAGUGCUGAUUGCUGCACUGCACUUCAGGCAACCAACCGUGAUUGUCUAUGUAACACUCUCAGAAUUGCUUCUCAACUUACUUCUGAGUGCAAUCUCCCAUCUUUUGGUUGCGUUCUGAAUUAG